UGCACACUCCUUAGAUCUGCCUUCGGGACUGUUUCAGUCCGCUGACGCGUUGUUGGUUAUCGAAGGUAAAUGAGUCAUUGGUGUGCUACAUCAGUAUACCUCCUUGAUGGAACCUUUACUGCCUGACCAAUGUCUUGCGGUCUGUUCUGUUGAGGGGACAUU